GAUCUCGCGACAAUGGUCGAAAGCCUGACGCAGCAACGCCGCCUUCUGGACGACGGCCUUCGGGUUGUAAACCGCUUUUCGGGGGGAAGAGGAAGGACGGUUCCCUUGGCAGUAGUCUCGGCUAACUACGUCCCAGCAGCCGCGGUAAAACGUAGGAGGCAAGCGUUAUCCGGAGUUACUGGGCGUAAAGCGCGCGCAGGCGGUUAGGCAAGUUGGGUGUGAAAGCUCCCGGCUAAACCGGGAGAGUGCAUUCAAGACUGCCUGGCUAGAGGACGGUAGAGGGGCGCAGAAUUCGGGGUGUAGCGGUGAAAUGUGUAGAGAUCCCGAGGAAUACCAGUGGGGAAGCCGGCGCCCUGGGCCGAACCUGACGCUGAGGCGCGACAGCGUGGGGAGCGAACGG
rnacentral:rRNA from 1 species